AUUGCCUAACGGCUGAACCAGCAACUUGGAGGAAGUAUAGCAAUAGCAAUAGCUAAUGCAAGAUCGAUUAUGUCGAAUAAAGUUCUGGGUAGAUUAUGAUAAUGACAUUUUCUACCCAUAUGUCUUGACCAAGUUACGUGCCAGCAGUCGCGGUAAUACGUAGUAGACUAGUGUUAUUCAUCUUUAAUAGGUUUAAAGGGUACCUAGACGGUAAAUCAAGCCCUAGGUACUGAUUUACUAGAGUUUUAUGUGAGGAGAAAGUACUGGUGGUGUAGAGAUGAAAUUUGUGAUACCAUGGAAACUGGUGGCGAAAGCAUCCUUUUAUGUAAAAACUGACGUUGAAGGACGAAGGCUUUGUGUCGCAAAAAGGAUUAGAUACCCUAGUAGUCCAAGCAGACAAUGAUGAAUGUCAUAGAUUAGAUUAUAUAUUUUGUUCUAUAAAUGAAAGUGUAAGCAUUCCACCUCAAGAGUAAUUUGGCAACAUUGGAACUGAAAUCAUUAGACCGUUUCUGAAACCAGUAGUGAAGUAUGUUGUUUAAUUUGAUGAUCCGCAAAAAACCUUACCACAAUUUGAAUAUUUACAAGCGUUGCACGGCUGUCUUCAGUUAAUGUCGUGAGAUUUUGGUUAGUUCCAUUAAAUUAACGUAAACCCUUACUUUAUUUUCAUAUAAAGUAGUUCACCAUUAGAAUGGAUAUGACAAAAAGGAUCAAGACAAGUCAUCAUGGCCUAAAUUGUGG
rnacentral:rRNA from 1 species